rnacentral:lncRNA from 1 species
CCAACUGCCAAUCCGGUGCCCAUUCCCAUCUUUCCACUACGCUUCUGAUCAUAAUUAGGAGGAUAAUCAGCAGGAGCGCUCGGCCUCGACCCCAGCCCCCCACCAUAGCUAGAUUGCCGCUCAAUGAAUGGUCGAGGAGGAGGUGGUGGUGGCUGAGAGUAGUACCCAGGGUAGUAACUGGAGUACGGAUCAGAGUAGCCGCCGUAAGGAUACAAAUGCGCCGGAGGAGGCGGUGGAGAUGGAGAAGCAGGUGGCGGUGGUGCCACUACAGGCAGCGGAGGAGGAGGAGGGUGUGAGGAGUACGGAGAAGGAGAAUAUGAUCUAUAGGAAGGCGGCGGCGGAGGGGCAGUAGAGUAAUAAUAGCUAGAUGGAGGGGGU